rnacentral:rRNA from 1 species
AUUGAACGCUGGCGGCAUGCCUUCCACAUGCAAGUCGAACGGUAACGGGCCUUCGGGUGCCGACGAGUGGCGAACGGGUGAGUAAUGUAUCGGAACGUACCUUUCAGUGGGGAUAACGUAGCGAAAGUUACGCUAAUACCGCAUAUUCUGUGAGCAGGAAAGCAGGGGAUCGCAAGACCUUGCGCUGAUUGAGCGGCCGAUAUCAGAUUAGCUAGUUGGUGAGGUAAAGGCUCACCAAGGCGACGAUCUGUAGCGGGUCUGAGAGGAUGAUCCGCCACACUGGAACUGAGACACGGUCCAGACUCCUACGGGAGGCAGCAGUGGGGAAUUUUGGACAAUGGGGGCAACCCUGAUCCAGCCAUGCCGCGUGAGUGAAGAAGGCCUCGGUGUAAGUAUCGUUCGUCCGGGUACGGAAAGUACGUA